UCUAACGGACGGGUAAUACCCGGCGAUUUGGCGGAAGGGCAUCCUUCUGCCAGGAAACGAAUUUCGCCUCGGGAGGGGCUCACGUGGUAUUAGCUUGUUGGUAGGGUAACGGCCUACCAAGGCGAAGAUGCCUAGCAGGUGUGAGAGCACGACCUGCGCCACUGGCACUGAGACACUGGCCAGACACCUACGGGUGGCUGCAGUCGAGGAUCUUCGGCAAUGGGCGCAAGCCUGACCGAGCGACGCCGCGUGUGCGAUGAAGGCCUUCGGGUUGUAAAGCACUGUCGAGGGGGAGGAAGCCGCAAGGUUGACCUAUCCCUGGAGGAAGCACGGGCUAAGUUCGUGCCAGCAGCCGCGGUAAGACGAACCGUGCAAACGUUGUUCGGAAUCACUGGGCUUAAAGGGCGCGUAGGCGGGCAAGCAAGUCCGGGGUGAAAUCUUUCGGCUUAACCGGAAAAGUGCCUUGGAUACUGCUUGUCUGGAGGGAGGUAGGGGCAUGUGGAACUUCUGGUGGAGCGGUGAAAUGCGUUGAUAUCAGAAGGAACGCCGGUGGCGAAAGCGACGUGCUGGACCUCUUCUGACGCUGAUGCGCGAAAGCUAGGGGAGCAAACGGGAUUAGAUACCCCGGUAGUCCUAGCCCUAAACGAUGGGUACUAGAUUGUGGACUAGACAUGGGUUCCCAGUCGAAGCAAAAGUGUUAAGUACCCCGCCUGGGGAGUAUGGUCGCAAGGCUGAAACUCAAAGGAAUUGACGGGGGCUCACACAGGCGGUGGAGCAUGUGGCUUAAUUCGAGGCUACGCGAAGAACCUUA
rnacentral:rRNA from 1 species